CAUGCUCCCAAGUCCAGAGCGUUUGGGGUAGUUGAGACUGGUUUUUUCCCCUGCCUUCUUUAAAACGCAGAUCCUUUAUUUUUAAAGUUCUGAUACGAUAGGCAUCAUGGAGGAUCCUCUUGGAUUCAGGACGCACGUCAGUCAGUCUGUCCUUCUGGUCCAGAGACAAGGUCGCCGCGGUCCCCAGGAGUAGUGUUAACUUUCGCCUUACUCUCCUGUCCUGACGUCACGGCCCUGAGGAACAGCUCUGUCCGCAGAGGAGGGCCACCGGGCUCUGGCCGAGCCGUCUGGGGCACGAACUGGCGACGCACUGGGCAGGCAGACUCCGACGGGGGCCUCGGGACACAGCCCCUUCCACCUGAUCCUGGACACAUCCUCUUACCUGCCUGCAGUCCACCCACGGGUUGAACGCAUCUCUGACGCUCCCCUUCCAACCAAGAGGACCCCUUCUGAAAGUUUGAUGGACUUCACAGAACUCUCAUAAGCAUGUCCUCAUUCUGGGACAUUCACUCGGUGUGUGCCUCUCACCCAGACAUCUACAGACUCCCACUUCGGGAACUGAACAUAAGCUCAUGCAAGUGCAUCCCCACUCGUCCACGGACCUAACUCUACUUCAGGGCCCUGCAGACGGCUGGACCCUGGGCAGAGAAAGCCAGACCUCUGGGACAAAUAGGGUGGCUGAGGGUAGAAAGCCCAUCUUUACACAAUCACACACAUAUACACUCACCACGUACGCAUGUCCUUUUUAGCUCAAACUCAUUUGCUGAUGCUUCUGCUGUGCCAGAGUGUGGGGGUCCCGAGUGAGCUCUCUGAGCCACGAAAAUCCCCCUCCUUCCUGUCUGAGACUGGCCCCAACUCCUGACCCUGCCCAGGUAGUGGUGGGUUCCAAAGGGAUGGCUCUGAAGGAGACCCAGGGUGAGGCCGGGGUUGGGGGUUGAGGGCAGGGAGGGGGCUGAAGGCGCGGCGCGGUGGCGCCGAGUAGGAGCUGGGCUGGGGGCGCUGAUGGGGGACCCGGGAGGCAUUGACUUUUGCGCUGUUUGCCCGCGGCCUCGGAGCAAGCAGACGCCAUCUGUUUGCCGGCUGCGGCGAUUCCCGUUUAAUUACCCUCCCGGCAGCCUAAUAGAGAUGAUAUUAAACUAAAUCUUUCUGACAUUAAAAGUAAUUAUCCCCAAACCAGUGGCUCCGGGAUAGAAUCGCCCCUCCCGUCCAUGCACCUCCACUGGCCGCGCCAGAUUCCGUUAGUUUGGCUGAAAAUCUUUACCGGGAAGGGGGAGCGGAGAAAAGGGGUAAGGUGCCUUUGGGAGGAGUCUACCUAGGCCGCCCCAUGCAUGCUGCUUCGGCACAAUCACAGACUGUCUUGUAUGCACGACACUCGUGGAUACACACACACCUGUACACACACAGACACACAUUUUCCUCUGGAUCAACUCUCGAGCCUCAUUAAUUAAGACUCUCAGUCGUGUGAACCCUCAGAUAGGGAGAAGAGCAGCCUAGUUUGCUGUCCCUGUCUCCAGGCCCCUAAAAUGGCUUCCGCGUGGUCAAAGCAACGGAUCUGGCCUAGGGCAGGGCCAGGGACCCAGGCGCAACUUAGCAACCAGAAAGACCCUCUGCCACUGUGACUCUUGACUUCUCAGGCGCUCUUCCUGUGAGGGGCCCUGCGUCUCCUGCUUCCUUCAGUGUCUUACUUAAGUCCACCACCUCUGCAAGGCAAGUCCUGUUACCCCACUUUACAAGUGAGAAAACGGACUCAGAGAGGUGAGGUGAUUUGUCUCACAUCUUACAACCAGUAUGGGCCAGAGCAGAUAGAAUUCGAACCCAGGAGUACUGGGGAAGGCCCCUGCUCAAGGCCUGAGUUCUGCUCGGUUCCAGGCCUCGGCUGGGCACGGCGGACGGAUGUCUGGCCUGGGGCCCCUCUCCGUCGCGUGCGCCUGCAGGACCAGCCUUUUCCCGGGCUUUGGCCACCCUCGGCUCCAACGGAAGGAGUGGACGGGGAAGCCAGUUGUGGGCGGGGAAGCGAGGGCAGCCACCGGAACCCCAACGCAGAGCCCCAGCGGCAGCCCUUCUUUGGAUCAAGCCCCGGUGUCUACAGGGCGCGCGCAGGGGAGGCGGCCGCCCAGUGUCGUCAGGCUUCCUGUCUCCAGGUCCUUCUGACUGAGAGCGUCUGAGCCUGGGACAAACGCGCGGAGCGGUGGCGUGCAUCGCCCAACUACCUGUUUCUACUUUUGAGCGCCUACUGUGUACCACUACUCUGCUAAACGCUUGGUGUGUGCCGUCUUGCUUGUACGCAGUCCUUGGGGGAGGUGUGACGUUCUGCGUGUCAGAGGCGAGUUUGCCGAAGUUCCAAGGUUCAGCGAGGCGACGUAACUGGCCCGAGGUUACAAAGCUGCUGAACCUGGAAGAAGACAGGAACCCAGAUCCGACUCCCACUCUCAGGCUUUUUUUUGUUUUUUUCUCACCUUCAGUUCUGGGCGGGUAGCAGCAGACCUAGAGGCUUUCAGUCGGUUUGAUUCCAUUGAACUCAUUUAUUCACCGAAACACGAGAGAACUGGUCAUUCAUUCAUACCUUCAUUUAAUUAAUAUUGAGCACCUAGAAUGUGCCAGGCCCUGAGGACUGGCGAUAAAUCAACCAUGAUGGGCCCUUAAAGAGCCCGUGGGCCAACUGUGGACACAGUCACCUACCAGUGACCUCACAGUGAGAACAGGGCUGAGGUGGGAGUGGGGAAAGGAAGGUCAAGAAAGACUUUCUGAAGAAAGGGACCCCGGAAGCAGGACGUUAGGUUUCCCAAAAGUAUAUCUGGAAUAUAUACUUUUCUGUGUACCCACAUUUACAAAAAUAUACUUUUUGUUUACUUGCUUUUUUAUUUACAAUAUGGUAAGAAUUUU